UGGGGAAUAUUGGACAAUGGGCGCAAGCCUGAUCCAGCCAUGCCGCGUGAGUGAUGAAGGCCCUAGGGUUGUAAAGCUCUUUCACCGGUGAAGAUAAUGACGGUAACCGGAGAAGAAGCCCCGGCUAAGUUCGUGCCAGCAGCCGCGGUAAUACGAAGGGGGCUAGCGUUGUUCGGAUUUACUGGGCGUAAAGCGCACGUAGGCGGACUUUUAAGUCAGGGGUGAAAUCCCGGGGCUCAACCCCGGAACUGCCUUUGAUACUGGAAGUCUUGAGUAUGGUAGAGGUGAGUGGAAUUCCGAGUGUAGAGGUGAAAUUCGUAGAUAUUCGGAGGAACACCAGGGGCGAAGGCGGCUCACUGGACCAUUACUGACGCUGAGGUGCGAAAGCGUGGGGAGCAAACAGG
rnacentral:rRNA from 1 species